GCUAGCUACAGGCUUAACACAUGCAAGUCGAGGGUUAGCAUGGUCUUAGCUUGCUAAGGCCGAUGGCGACCGGCGCACGGGUGAGUAACACGUAUCCAACCUGCCGUCUACUCUUGGACAGCCUUCUGAAAGGAAGAUUAAUACAAGAUGGCAUCAUGAGUCCGCAUGUUCACAUGAUUAAAGGUAUUCCGGUAGACGAUGGGGAUGCGUUCCAUUAGAUAGUAGGCGGGGUAACGGCCCACCUAGUCUUCGAUGGAUAGGGGUUCUGAGAGGAAGGUCCCCCACAUUGGAACUGAGACACGGUCCAAACUCCUACGGGAGGCAGCAGUGAGGAAUAUUGGUCAAUGGGCGAGAGCCUGAACCAGCCAAGUAGCGUGAAGGAUGACUGCCCUAUGGGUUGUAAACUUCUUUUAUAAAGGAAUAAAGUCGGGUAUGGAUACCCGUUUGCAUGUACUUUAUGAAUAAGGAUCGGCUAACUCCGUGCCAGCAGCCGCGGUAAUACGGAGGAUCCGAGCGUUAUCCGGAUUUAUUGGGUUUAAAGGGAGCGUAGAUGGAUGUUUAAGUCAGUUGUGAAAGUUUGCGGCUCAACCGUAAAAUUGUAGUUGAUACUGGAUAUCUUGAGUGCAGUUGAGGCAGGCGGAAUUCGUGGUGUAGCGGUGAAAUGCUUAGAUAUCACGAAGAACUCCGAUUGCGAAGGCAGCCUGCUAAGCUGCAACUGACAUUGAGGCUCGAAAGUGUGGGUAUCAAACAGGAUUAGAUACCCUGGUAGUCCACACGGUAAACGAUGAAUACUCGCUGUUUGCGAUAUACAGCAAGCGGCCAAGCGAAAGCGUUAAGUAUUCCACCUGGGGAGUACGCCGGCAACGGUGAAACUCAAAGGAAUUGACGGGGGCCCGCACAAGCGGAGGAACAUGUGGUUUAAUUCGAUGAUACGCGAGGAACCUUACCCGGGCUUAAAUUGCAGAUGAAUUACGGUGAAAGCCGUAAGCCGCAAGGCAUCUGUGAAGGUGCUGCAUGGUUGUCGUCAGCUCGUGCCGUGAGGUGUCGGCUUAAGUGCCAUAACGAGCGCAACCCUUGUUGUCAGUUACUAACAGGUUCCGCUGAGGACUCUGACAAGACUGCCAUCGUAAGAUGUGAGGAAGGUGGGGAUGACGUCAAAUCAGCACGGCCCUUACGUCCGGGGCUACACACGUGUUACAAUGGGGGGUACAGAGGGCCGCUACCACGCGAGUGGAUGCCAAUCCCCAAAACCUCUCUCAGUUCGGACUGGGGUCUGCAACCCGACUCCACGAAGCUGGAUUCGCUAGUAAUCGCGCAUCAGCCACGGCGCGGUGAAUACGUUCCCGGGCCUUGUACACACCGCCCGUCAAGCCAUGGGAGCCGGGGGUACCUGAAGUGCGUAACCGCGAGGAGCGCCCUAGGGUAAAACUGA
rnacentral:rRNA from 1 species